rnacentral:rRNA from 1 species
GACGAACGCUGGCGGCGUGCUUAACACAUGCAAGUCGAACGGAAAGGCCCUGCUUUUGUGGGGUGCUCGAGUGGCGAAGGGGUGAGUAACACGUGAGUAACCUGCCCUUGACUUUGGGAUAACUUCAGGAAACUGGAGCUAAUACCGGAUAGGAGCUCCUGCUGCAUGGUGGGGGUUGGAAAGUUUCGGCGGUUGGGGAUGGACUCGCGGCUUAUCAGCUUGUUGGUGGGGUAGUGGCUUACCAAGGCUUUGACGGGUAGCCGGCCUGAGAGGGUGACCGGCCACAAGGGGCCUGAGAGACGGCCCAGACUCCUACGGGAGGCAGCAGGGGGGAAUAUUGCACAAUGGGCGCAAGCCUGAUGCAGCAACGCCGCGUGCGGGAUGACGGCCUUCGGGUUGUAAACCGCUUUCGCCUGUGACGAAGCGUGAGUGACGGUAAUGGGUAAAGAAGCACCGGCUAACUACGUG